rnacentral:misc_RNA from 1 species
GAUGAAGAACGUAGCGAAAUGCGAUAAGUAAUGUGAAUUGCAGAAUUCAGUGAAUCAUCGAAUCUUUGAACGCACCUUGCGCUCUUUGGUAUUCCGAAGAGCAUGCCUGUUUGAGUGUCAUGAAAAUAUCAACCUUGACUUGGGUUUUGUGCUCUAGUCUCGGCUUGGAAUUGGGUGCUUGCCGCUUUUACGAGCGGCUCACCUUAAAUGUAUUAGCUGGAUCUGUCUUUGAGACUUGGUUUGACUUGGCGUAAUAAGUAUUUCGCUAAGGACAUUCUUCGGAGUGGCCUCGUUUCUAGGACGCUUGUCCGCUUUCCAAUACAAGUUCCACCUCGUGGACAUGACUUUUUAUUAUCUGGCCUCAAAUCAGGUAGGACUACCCGCUGAACUUAAGCAUAUCAAUAAGCGAGGA